rnacentral:misc_RNA from 1 species
AAGUCGUAACAAGGUUUCCGUAGGUGAACCUGCGGAAGGAUCAUUAACACUUACUGUACUUUUCAUAUUGUACAUGUAUUUCAACAAAACCGUGCUCCCUUUUUUUUCCAAACCUCAAACCUUAUUUUAUUUUAAUUUUAACAGUUUUUCAUUUUUACCUUUUUUCUUUUGUUACAUUUGUAACAAAAAAAAACUAAAAACGAAAAUGUAAGUAAUAACAAUAUUAUUUGGUUUAAAAUUUUUUUUUAAAAAGUUUUUGCAAAUAAUAGAGUUGGACAAACAACUGUUAACAAUGGAUAUCUAGGCUCUC